ACAAGGUUUUGAGCUUGACCAUUAAUCUUAAAACUCCAACCAAGAAUAUAAUGAGAAGUUAGAAAUGAACCAGUAGCUGAUGAAAAUCCAACAUACAUACUAUUGUUAAGAAUUGGAGAAAGAUCUUUGGUCAAUGAUAACAAAGGUUGUUUUGGUUUAACAACAUUAAUUGGAGCUAAAGUAACAUCAAUCUUUUUCUUUUCACCAUCAUAUUCAAUCCAUACCUGCAUAGGAUAGCCACUGAUAAGGCUUAUAUUCUUGAAUUGACCAUUACCAUCAUAAUAUCCUGCAGGAGUUGAAUUAGCUGAUUUCAAAUCAUUGAUAUCAAUACCAACAUGGUUAUCAUUGAUAUCAUCAAACUCACGAUUUUCAAUAGUAUCAAGUUCAACACCAAAAACGUGGUUGCUAGGAUUUCCAUUGUUGGAAUCGUCAAAGAGACCAAGGUAUGAACCUUGGAGUGAAUUUGGUAGCCCUUUUGUAGGAGAAAGAACAAAAACAAUUCCAUGGCCACUAUAAGUUGGACCUUGAUGUCUUAUGGCAAAUACAAAAGUAGUUGAGAAUGAAGAAACACUUCCAUUGGAAGUGUUCUUCAAAACUAUAGGGUUUGGAUAGAAAGCAUGUGCUUUUUCUUGUUUGGUGUCAUUGGUGAGUCUUAGUAAGCCAUUGGAGGUUAAAUUAGCAAUACCAUCAAGAUACAAAUGAGAUGAUUGGAAAUCAUUAUAGAUGAAACUUUUGUCUUCACUUGGUACCAAUGUAACAAGAAAAAACAACAUAAACACAAGCCUGAGGAACAUGAUUAUAGUUUGUGAAUAAUAAUGCUUAUACAGUUCUGUUCAGUGUUUAUUAUUUAUUAUUUAUUAUGUAUAAGAUUUUGUCCUAGGUGAAGAAAAAAUUGCAAGUCUAAUUUGGGUCCUACUAAGAAAUGUCUUGGAACCUAACUUAGCUAUGAAUUAUCACCAAAAGAAACAUCAAAUGGUUACUAAAAUCGCGUAUCUCAUUUGGGUCCUACUAAGAAAUGUCUCAUUUAGUUUAGUAAAAAUGAACUCAUUUGGGACCAUUUGAAUAGUUGUGCACAUUUGAACUACCAAUUUUUUUCCCAACUGCACAUUUUCAAUGUUUACGUAUUGAGUGUUUGAUGCUAAAUUGAAUAUGUGAAAUUAAAACAUCAAUGUCGUCUAAUUUCUUCAAAUAAGCAUAGUUUUUUUUUUUAAGUUCACACUUGAAUGUGUGGAUUUGACCGAUUACUAUUGAUUAUCUAUGAUUUGCUUGGCUGCUAAGAAAAUGAUGAAUGAAUAAGUGGUGGAGGAUGCAUAAAGAUACCGUUGGUUUUGAAUCAAAAUUUCAUAUUUUUCUUCAUGGAAAAAUCGUAGGCCAAUUAAAGUCAGCCUGUUUCAUUGGUCAUAUGUGCUGGCAAGUUGCAGGGAGAUGGAGGUAAAUCACGAGGCAAUUUACUCAGGAUUGACAACUAUAAAAUUCAGUUUUUGACAUAUUUGUCGAGCAAUCUUUCUACUCUAAAUCAGAGAAUUUUUAAGGAAUUUAGAGGUUCAGAGUAACCUUAAAAAGUAACUUAAUAACAUAACUUUGUUCUCCAAAAACUUUACUGUCUUUUCAAUUUUCUGGUUCUUCUUCAUUUCUUGUCCACCACUUUAUCAUAGCUUCUGUUUUUCACAUAUGCCCACACGACCUAAAAUGAGCUUACCAUUUUUUCUACAAUGGAGCCAUCUCAACUUUUUCUCUGCUGUUUAUUUAAUUUAUUUAAUUCAGGGUUAAAAACCAUGUAAUGGACUAAUUUUAAAACCUAACUUUCUUUUUUAGGUGCUGCACUGUCUGUAAAGAGAAGUGACAUAUUGGCUCUUGCUAUAGGUAUGAUGGACUCUUUGAUCCUCUACAAUCAAUGAUUGGUUUAUUGUGUCAUUCACGGGUGAUAAUUCUGGAUGUCACAAUGAAUGUUGGGAUAAAAUGGUUUGUUUAAAUCGAGUAAAACUUCUGUUUCAUGAAUGGUGUGUUCAUCAACUGGUAACAAUUAUAGCAACUAUAGAAGAAAGGCUUAAGUGGGGUGUGGGUUUUCCUACUAUAGGUGUUUCAAUUGUUUUACAUGCACUGAGGCAUUCUUUAGAAUCAAGUGCAUUUCAGAUAUGGCUCAAUAAAUGUUAUAUUUGAUUUAGACUGAAUCACCAUUUAAGUCUAUAAAUUACAGGGGUUGAAAUUUUUAAUGUUAGUCCUUUUGGGUCGGUCAAUAUAGUCCUUGAAAUUGUCUUGAAGAUACUAAAGUGAUUGAAAAUUUUCAAUUUCAAUGAUCAUUUUAGAAUAUGUUAAUUUUAGGGGCUAGAUUGCAUGAUGUCGUGACCAAUACUAUUAUAAGACUGAAAUAGGUUAUUCGCUCUUUCGUUUUAUGUUAUUUGAUGUGUCUAUGCUAGGUGGUGCUUACCUAAAGAUUCUUGAUGGCUACAUUAGUUCAUAUGUUGUUGCUAUCUGAUGAAUGGAAAAUUUAAAUUUGUUGGUCGAGGGUUGAGUACCUCGAUUGGUUUGAGCUAAGGGUUAAGAAGUUGGAGGUCGUCUGUUCAAAUUUUGGUAAUGUCGACAUUGUCCAUGACAGUGAUUAUAAUUAUGAUGUGUUGUUCAAUUUUAAUAUUUAAGGCUCAUUCUACGCAUGCUGAUAACUUAAUCCUGCCAAGCCCUGUAUAUUAACAUUGAUUAGUUGCUCAAUAUUACAGGUGGAUAUCUAAGCUGUAUUUCGAUGAUAUUCUAGAAAAUACAGAAGCAAAUAUAUGUCUUGUUAUCGAUGCUCGUAUUUGGAGGAUUCUAUAAAUUGAGCCAUCUUCUGCUGCUAGUUCAGGUUGAAGUUGAACUAGUGAUAAAUGAUAAAAAUAAACUAAUGUUGUGCAAAAUUAGUUCAGUGUUGCUUGUAGCUAAAAUGUUAUGCUGCCAUGCUGGCUUAUACUAUGGUAUCCAUUGUAAUAACAUUUCUAAGGCAUAUAAUGACAUGUAACUGGUACUAUUUUGGAUACAUAAAAACACGAUUUCAUGUAUUUGUUACACUAUUAACUCAAAUAUGAUUUUACAUUUGAUUUAACAAACUCUCCUUAAUCCAUUUUACCAAAAUCUAACGACCACCAGAGAGAAGUGAAUCAGCAAUAGACACAGAGGUGUGUGACAUUGUGUUGCCCAUAGAAGAAGGAUAAGACAAAGGAAAGUCCUCAAAAAAUUCUUGGUACCCAAAAGUUAAACCAGAAGAAGAUAAACUAAGCAAAGACAAAUCUGGUAAAGGUAUAUCCCUUUCCAAAUACUGUACAACUUGUCUCAUACCUGGUCUAGCCAAAGGUUCUGAAUGUGAACACAACAAACCAAGUUUCAACACCAAUUCAACCUCUUCAGACACAUAGUUUGUCCCCAAAUUUACAUCUUUUGCCUCAAGAAUAUUACCCCUUUUCCAACACUCAAAGACACAAUCAACCAAAAUUACGCAUUCAUUUUCCGCUACAUUUUCAAUAGGCCUUCUACCACAAGCAACCUCGAGAAGAAAUGCACCAAAAGAAAACACAUCAGAAAAUUUAGUAGCCUUACCUGUUCUAGUAUGUUCAGGUGCUAGAUACCCUACAGUUCCAACCAAAUGAGUUGUGUGAGGAUCAGCACCAUGAUCAUACAACCUUGCAAGACCAAAAUCUCCUAAUCUACCAUUCAAUUCACCAUCUAAUAACACAUUGCUAGCCUUUAUGUCUCUAUGAAUCACAACCUGCUCCCAUUCUUCGUGUAGAUAAAACAAACCCAAAGCAACACCUUUGAUGAUUCGAAAUCUUUGACUCCAAUUCAAGGUCACUCUUGGUUGGUUGUAUAGAUAAUUGUCUAGACUUCCAUUAGGCAUGUAAUCAUAGACCAGAAGCAACUCACCUUUUCGCCUGCAAUAGCCGAGAAGUGGAACAAGAUUCCUAUGACGAAGACGACCGAUACUAACAAUUUCCGACACGAAUUCCCUCAUCCCUUGUCUUGAUUCAUGUGAAACCCUCUUCACUGCAACCUCAAGUUUGGAACCUGGCAUCACACCUUUGUAGACUCUACCAAAUCCACCAACUCCUAAUAGACCCUUUUCCUUGAAACCCUUUGUGGCAAAGUACAAAUCUUUGAACUUAAACCUAUGAGGGCCAUAUUCAUGCUCCCAAUCUUCAAGCAACUCAGCAAACUUCUUUCUCCUUUUGAUAUAAUAAAUAACCCCUAAGGUUAUCAUGAAAACCAAACUUAGCAAAACCAAAGGCAAUCCAACAGUUAAAAACAUGGACUCUUUUUUCUCACCAAAUCUUGGUAGCUUAGGAAGUUCAGAGAUUACAAGGUUUUCAGCUUGACCAUUAACCUUAAAACUCCAACCAAGAAUAUAAUGAGAAGUGAAAACUGAACCAGUAGCUGAUGAAAAUCCAACAUACAUACUAUUGUUUAAAAUUGGAGAAAGAUCUCUGGUCAAUGACAACAAAGGUUGUUUUGGUUUAACAACAUUAAUUGGAGCUAAAGUAACAUCAAUCUUUUUCUUUUCACCAUCAUAUUCAAUCCAUACCUGCAUAGGAUUGCCACUGAAAAGGGUCAAAUUCUUGAGUUGACCAUUAACAUCAUAAUAUCCUGC
rnacentral:lncRNA from 1 species